CACCAGCGCCACAAGUGGCAACCGCUUUUAUUGGGCCUAAAGCGUCCGUAGCCGGUUCAGUAAAUUUCCUGUGAAAUCGUUGGGCUUAACCUAACGGCAUGCAGGAAACACUACUAAACUAGGGACUGGGAGGCGUCAGAGGUAUUCUUGAGGGAGCGGUAAAAUGCUAUAAUCUCAGGAGGACCACCAGUGGCGAAGGCGUCUGACGAGAACAGAUCCGACGGUCAGGGACGAAAGCUAGGGGAGCAAACCGGAUUAGAUACCCGCGUA
rnacentral:rRNA from 1 species